rnacentral:rRNA from 1 species
CUCAGUAACACGUGGAUAACUUACCCUUAGGACUGGAAUAACCCCGGGAAACUGGGGAUAAUACCAGAUAAGCCAUAGACGCUGGAAUGCCCUAUGGUUCAAAGCUCCGGCGCCUAAGGAUGGAUCUGCGGUCUAUCAGGUUGUAGUGGGUGUAACGUACCUACUAGCCGACGACGGAUACGGGUUGUGAGAGCAAGAGCCCGGAGAUGGAUUCUGAGACACGAAUCCAGGCCCUACGGGGUGCAGCAGGCGCGAACACUUUACAAUGCGGGAAACCGCGAUAAGGGAACCCCGAGUGCCAGCAUCAAAUGUUGGCUGUCCAGAUGGUUAAAAAUCAUUUGUUAGCAAGGGCCGGGCAAGACCGGUGCCAGCCGCCGCGGUAACACCGGCGGCCCGAGUGGUAGCCGUUUUUAUUGGGUCUAAAGGGUCCGUAGCCGGCCUGAUAAGUCCUUUGGGAAAUCUGACAGCUUAACUGUCAGGCUUCUAAGGGAUACUGUCAGGCUUGGGACCGGAAGAGGUAAGGGGUACUCCAGGGGUAGGAGUGAAAUCUUGUAAUCCCUGGGGGACCAUCUGUGGCGAAGGCGCCUUACCAGAACGGGUCCGACGGUGAGGGACGAAAGCUAGGGGAGCAAACCGGAUUAGAUACCCGGGUAGUCCUAGCUGUAAACGAUGCUCGCUAGGUGUCAGACACGGUGCGACCGUGUUUGGUGCCGCAGGGAAGCGGUUAAGCGAGCCACCUGGGAAGUACGGUCGCAAGGCUGAAACUAAAG